CUAGCCAGUACUGUAAUUAUAGUUAAUGUUGACAAUAUUUUAUAAUUUCAGUCCCUGCUGUUACAGUUAGUAGCAAGAAAAAAGCAUCCAAACCAAGAAAUCCACCAAAGUGAAGUGUAUGCAAGCAGCCAAUGAAAGGCCACAAAAUUGUGACUAAUUGUCCACGGAACAACAAGACCUAACAAUAUUUUACAUAAAUAUUUAACAUUCAAAUAAUAAACUUAUAAGUUUUCAUCGUCUGUUUCCAAGUCAUCAUAACCUUCAAAUUCAUCACCAUUCUUGUUGUUAUGUGUCAAAUGUAUUGCAGUAUAUGCACAAGCGCUCAGUGGUAUACGUCUGUCCUUUAAUUUGCUGUGAAUCAUGCGGGUAAACUGCCUAUAUGCAACAACUCGAAGAAAUCUACAAUAUAAUAAAAAG